rnacentral:rRNA from 1 species
CUACGGGGCGCUGCAGUGAGGAAUAUUGCACAAUGGGGGGAACCCUGAUGCAGCAACGCCGCGUGGAGGAUGACGCAUUUCGGUGUGUAAACUCCUUUUAUAUGUCAAGAAAAUGACGGUAGCAUAUGAAUAAGCACCGGCUAACUCCGUGCCAGCAGCCGCGGUAAUACGGAGGGUGCAAGCGUUACUCGGAAUCACUGGGCGUAAAGGACGCGUAGGCGGGUUGGAAAGUCAGGUGUGAAAUCCUACAGCUUAACUGUAGAACUGCACUUGAAACUUCUAAUCUAGAGUAUGGGAGGGGGAGAUGGAAUUAGUGGUGUAGGGGUAAAAUCCGUAGAUAUCACUAGGAAUACCUAAAGCGAAGGCGAUCUCCUGGAGCAUUACUGACGCUAAGGCGUGAAAGCGUGGGGAGCAAACGGGAUUAGAUACCCCCGUAGUC